rnacentral:rRNA from 1 species
CUACGGGUGGCAGCAGUGGGGAAUCUUGGACAAUGGGCGCAAGCCUGAUCCAGCCAUGCCGCGUGAGUGAAGAAGGCCUUAGGGUCGUAAAGCUCUUUCGCCAGAGAUGAUAAUGACAGUAUCUGGUAAAGAAACCCCGGCUAACUCCGUGCCAGCAGCCGCGGUAAUACGGAGGGGGUUAGCGUUGUUCGGAAUUACUGGGCGUAAAGCGCGCGUAGGCGGAUUAGUCAGUCAGAGGUGAAAUCCCAGGGCUCAACCCUGGGACUGCCUUUGAUACUGCUAGUCUUGAGUUCGAGAGAGGUGAGUGGAAUUCCGAGUGUAGAGGUGAAAUUCGUAGAUAUUCGGAGGAACACCAGUGGCGAAGGCGGCUCACUGGCUCGAUACUGACGCUGAGGUGCGAAAGUGUGGGGAGCAAACAGGAUUAGAUACCCCUGUAGUC